AACGAACGCUGGCGGCAUGCCUAACACAUGCAAGUCGAACGAGACCUUCGGGUCUAGUGGCGCACGGGUUCGUAACGCGAGGGAACCGGCCCUUAGGUUUGGCAUACCUCCCCGACAGGGGUGCUAAUGCGGGAUCAUGUCUUCUGACCAAUGAUUUAUUGCCUUUGGAUGGGCCCUAGUGGGAUUAGCUGGUUGGUAGGGUAAUAGCCUCCCACGGCGACCAUUACUAGCUGGGUAGAGAGGAAGGUCAGCCACACCUGGACGCGGAAGCGGCCGAGAAUCCUACGGGAGGGGGGAGAGGGGAAUAGUGGACAGUGGGGGGAGGCCUGAAGCAGCUAGGCCGGGAAAGUGAUGAUGGCCGUGGGGAUGUAAAGCGCUUUUAACCGGGAUGAUAAUGACGGUACCGGGAGAAUAAGCCCCGGCUAACUACGUG
rnacentral:rRNA from 1 species